rnacentral:rRNA from 1 species
GACAGAGGAUGCAAGCGUUUAUCCGGAAUGAUUGGGCGUAAAGCGUCUGUAGGUGGCUUUUUUAAGUCCGCCGUCAAAUCCCAGGGCUCAACCCCUGGACAGGCGGUGGAAACUACCAAGCUGGAGUACGGUAGGGGCAGAGGGAAUUUCCGGUGGAGCGGUGAAAUGCGUAGAGAUCGGAAAAGAACACCAACGGCGAAAGCAUCUGC